AGCGAACGCUGGCGGCAGGCUUAACACAUGCAAGUCGAGCGGGCACUUCGGUGUCAGCGGCAGACGGGUGAGUAACACGUGGGAACGUACCCUUUGGUUCGGAAUAACGCUGGGAAACUAGCGCUAAUACCGGAUACGCCCUUUUGGGGAAAGGCUUGCUGCCGAAGGAUCGGCCCGCGUCUGAUUAGCUAGUUGGUGGGGUAAUGGCCUACCAAGGCGACGAUCAGUAGCUGGUCUGAGAGGAUGACCAGCCACACUGGGACUGAGACACGGCCCAGACUCCUACGGGAGGCAGCAGUGGGGAAUAUUGGACAAUGGGCGCAAGCCUGAUCCAGCCAUGCCGCGUGAGUGAUGAAGGCCUUAGGGUUGUAAAGCUCUUUUGUCCGGGACGAUAAUGACGGUACCGGAAGAAUAAGCCCCGGCUAACUUCGUG
rnacentral:rRNA from 1 species